GAUAAUAAACUGGAAGAUUCAGGAGUUAAACUGGUGUCUGCUGCGUUGAGGAACCCGGAGUGUAAAAUACAGAAACUGGGGCUGGACUAUGUCGGUCUCACAGAUUCUGGUGCCGAAGAUCUCGCCUCCGCUCUCAGUAGAAACACAUCCCUGACAGAGCUGAACCUGAGUGGUAAUGAACUGGCAGAUUCAGGAGUGAAACUGGUGUCUGCGGCUCUGAGGGACGCGAAGUGUAAAAUACAGGAACUGUGGCUUCACAGUGUCGGUCUCACGGAUUCUGGUGCCGAGGAUUUCGCCUCCGCUCUCAGUACAAUUCCAUCACUGACGCAGCUGAGCUUGGCAUCAAACUCGCUGACAGACCGAUCUGUCCCCGCUCUCCGCCGCAUUAUACUGACUCUCCCGAGUCUGGAGAGGAUCUGCCUGAGUGGGAAUCAGUUCAGUGAGACAUGGAAGAAGGAAGUGGAGUCUCUGAAGGAACUUCGACCCGGACUGAGAGUGGAUCUGUGAAUAUCUGCAUGUGUCAACAUCACAGCCCGCGGGAUAGGGAUAUUUUGACCGAAUUUCCGCCCUCCCAUUAAUAGGCGCCCUCCCGUUUAAUUUCCAACCGUUCCAACGGACGCUGGCUCUAGCCAAGCCCUCUGUGACGUCAGAGAUGGCUCCACAGUGACACAAUAUCGCUUCACGUCCCGCGUUUCUGCUUCCGGCUGAAGUCCGGGUAAAGAGCUCCGACAAGUGCGACCUCAGGAAUUACACAGACAGGAAGACCCCGCGGGUGGGGCCGAGUUCCCCGGAUGGGAUUAUCCCAGGAGAGGAUGCUUCUUUUUAAGGAUUGGGCUGAGGCCGAUGCAUUCGGCAGUCUGGCCGAUGUAAUGAUGUUAAAUUAGCAGACACCUCGGCAUUGACCCUCGAUCUGCAGCGAUCUCAGACACGGCACUGUGAUUUUAUAAUCAAUGGGUGAGAAACGGGACUGUUUCUGCAGCCUGUCACUCGUUGUCGCCGAUCAGUUAAUUGUGUGUGACUGUGAGUGAUUCGGGAACAGUGUAUUUAUUCCUGCCCGUCAGCAGCGCUCACAAUGUUUAAUUUACAUUUGAGCUGAGCCG